GUACCUUGGUUUUGUUGAGGUCCUAGGAGUGACUUGCAGGACUCACCAACCAGAACCAUGCUCAGGUGUGGCCACUUUGUUGCCCAAUGUCACCCAUUCUUCCACCUCCUACUGCACUUCCUGCUUGAUCUGCUGGCAAAUUUCCUUCCAGAAAUGACAACAGCUUAAUUUCCAACUACCAAGAGGUGACAGGGGUGGUGCAGAGGUGCCAGCUCUGCAUGAGCCAGAGCAGCCAAGUAGCCAAUGUGGACUUGAGGAAAGAAGCAGUCCUCAUCCAUGCUGAGGUUCACCUCGAGCCUCGGUGUGUCAGGCCUGGGAACAAGAGGAGGAAGUUUGCCACGAGACUUUGGUACUUCGUGAGACACCUCAGAGGUUCUAACAGCCUCUCUGCAGCUGGCGAGUACAAGAUGAAGCAAGGUGUUUCUGAGAGCUGGAAUUGGUCCAGGAGUUGUCUUGGAUGCCACUGGAUCACAAGGAGCUGAGAAACACAGAAAGGAAGAUGACCUUCUAUUAGAGGAAAUUUGAUGAAUGUUAAACAUUUCUGAUGACUACUUUAAGAGAGCUUGCUUCGUAAUUCAGCUUGGAAAGAAGUUACCCACUUCUUGUGUCUGUUUUAGGUAAGUCACAUAAAUAUUCAAACUAUUCUUUUUUGUCUCAUUAAGACUUGGCAGUCAA
rnacentral:lncRNA from 1 species